rnacentral:rRNA from 1 species
UUAUGACCUGGGCUACAAACGUGAUACAAUGGCUGUUACAAAGGGUAGCUGAAACGUAAGUUCUUGGCCAAUCCCCAAAAACAGUCUCAGUCCGGAUUGUAGUCUGCAACUCGACUUCAUGAAGUUGGAAUCGCUAGUAAUCGCGAAUCAGCAUGUCGCGGUGAAUACGUUCUCGGGGUUUGUACACACCGCCCGUCAAACCACGAAAGUUGGCAAUACCCCAAAAUGGUAGCCUAACUCGUUUAUUCGAGAGGGCGCUGUCUAAGGUAGGGUCGAUGAUUGGGGUUAAGUCGUAACAAGGUAUCCCUACCGGAAGGUGGGGAUGGAUCACCUCCUUU